rnacentral:rRNA from 1 species
CCUACGGGUGGCUGCAGUGAGGAAUAUUGGUCAAUGGACGAGAGUCUGAACCAGCCAAGUAGCGUGAAGGAUGACUGCCCUAUGGGUUGUAAACUUCUUUUAUAUGGGAAUAAAAUGUUCCACGUGUGGGAUUUUGUAUGUACCAUAUGAAUAAGCAUCGGCUAACUCCGUGCCAGCAGCCGCGGUAAUACGGAGGAUCCGAGCGUUAUCCGGAUUUAUUGGGUUUAAAGGGAGCGUAGGUGGAUUGUUAAGUCAGUUGUGAAAGUUUGGGGCUCAACCGUAAAAUUGCAGUUGAAACUGGCAGUCUUGAGUACAGUAGAGGUGGGCGGAAUGCGUGGUGUAGCGGUGAAAUGCAUAGAUAUCACGAAGAACUCCGAUUGCGAAGGCAGUUCACUGGACUGCAACUGACACUGAGGCUCGAAAGUGUGGGUAUCAAACAGGAUUAGAUACCCGAGUAGUC